rnacentral:rRNA from 1 species
UAGGGAAUCUUCCGCAAUGGGCGAAAGCCUGACGGAGCAACGCCGCGUGAGUGAUGAAGGUCUUCGGAUCGUAAAACUCUGUUAUUAGGGAAGAACAAAUGUGUAAGUAACUAUGCACGUCUUGACGGUACCUAAUCAGAAAGCCACGGCUAACUACGUGCCAGCAGCCGCGGUAAUACGUAGGUGGCAAGCGUUAUCCGGAAUUAUUGGGCGUAAAGCGCGCGUAGGCGGUUUUUUAAGUCUGAUGUGAAAGCCCACGGCUCAACCGUUGAGGGUCAUUGGAAACUGGAAAACUUGAGUGCAGGAGAGGAAAGUGGAAUUCCAUGUGUAGCGGUGAAAUGCGCAGAGAUAUGGAGGAACACCAGUGGCGAAGGCGACUUUCUGGUCUGUAACUGACGCUGAUGUGCGAAAGCGUGGGGAUCAAACAGG